rnacentral:pre_miRNA from 1 species
AUACUACUCCCUCUGUUCUAAAUUACUCGUUACAGAAAUGGAUGUAUCUAGAACUAAAAUACAUCUAGAUACAUUCAUACCUGCGACAAGUAAUUCCGAACGGAGGAAGUAGAUA